CGGGCAUAUUGUUCAUGUUGUAAAAUUGAAACAUAAAUAAACUGGUCAAAUAAUCAUUUAUUUUGUAAAUGUUUAAUAGAUUUAAUUUUUUGAAUAUAAUGGUUCCGUGUGCUCAGAAUACGGUUUGAAAGCGAUUAGACGCACAAGCUUCUUUUGGACACUCAUCAAUUUUGCAUAGUUUUACGUAAAUUCUACGUCUUGAAGGAU